rnacentral:lncRNA from 1 species
UAACUCAAUAAUAGGUUCAUACCGAUUAUCUCUAGAGCAUGUGGUAAAAAACUUGAUUGUUAAUAUCCGAUAUCCAAAUUCGAAUCCUACUUGAUUCAUAUUUUCAACUAAGUUUAUUUUCUAAAUAAAUAAAAUAAACGAAGCGGGUAGCAUGCUACCUAUCUUAAAAAAAAAAAAUAAUAAUAGAUUCAUAGAUUAUGAUGUUGCUUUUCUAAAGAAUUAUAUUUUUAAUACUUAUAUUCAACCGAAUUUAAAAUAUUUUAAUAAAUUAAUUAAUAUUUAAACUCAGGCGCAUAACUAUUAAUCUAAUUUACUGUUUGCGAGCCAAUUCGAUCGCACGCAUU